rnacentral:lncRNA from 1 species
ACAUUAAUGUUUAUUACAUCAUUCUCACUUUACUAUCUUUACCUUAUUUUAUUUUUCCUUCAUACAUCCGACCAUUUGAUCAUGUCACUGAUACUCCCUCAUCUACCUCCUUUGUUUUCUAUAGAUGGGAAGUCCAACACCGUUUGGCAAUGUACCGCCGUUCACCCGAGUCUACUACCCCUCCACGAACGACGACCAGUUGUUCAAUGCCCCUUUGGCGGCACUGUGUGCGUUCCUCGACCUGCCACCACCC